rnacentral:tRNA from 1 species
GGUGCCAUAGCUCAGUUGGUAGAGCAACGGACUGAAAAUCCGUGUGUCCCUAGUUCAAUUCUUGGUGGCACCACAA